rnacentral:ncRNA from 1 species
GGACUCUGGAGAAUCCCAUUGAAUUGGGUGCCGAAGGUGUAAGGCCCGUUUGGAUCGAAUCUCUCAGGCAAAAGGACAGAGACA